GAACGCUGGCGGCAGGCCUAACACAUGCAAGUCGAGCGGAAACGAUUCUAGCUUGCUAGAAGAUGACGAGCGGCGGACGGGUGAGUAACGCGUAGAAAUCUACCUAGUAGUGGGGGAUAGCCCAGAGAAAUUUGGAUUAAUACCGCAUACGCCCUACGGGGGAAAGCGGGGGAUCUUCGGACCUCGUGCUAUUAGAUGAGUCUGCGUCGGAUUAGCUUGUUGGUGAGGUAAUGGCUCACCAAGGCGACGAUCCGUAGCUGGUCUGAGAGGAUGACCAGCCACACUGGAACUGAGACACGGUCCAGACUCCUACGGGAGGCAGCAGUGGGGAAUAUUGCACAAUGGGCGCAAGCCUGAUGCAGCCAUGCCGCGUGUGUGAAGAAGGCCUUAGGGUUGUAAAGCACUUUCGGCAGUGAGGAAAGGGGUGUCGUUAAUAGCGCCAUCCUGUGACGUUAACUGCAGAAGAAGGACCGGCUAACUCCGUG
rnacentral:rRNA from 1 species